GAGUAACACGUGGGCAACCUGCCUGUAAGACUGGGAUAACUCCGGGAAACCGGGGCUAAUACCGGAUAACUCUUUUCCUCACAUGAGGAAAAGCUGAAAGACGGUUUCGGCUGUCACUUACAGAUGGGCCCGCGGCGCAUUAGCUAGUUGGUGAGGUAACGGCUCACCAAGGCAACGAUGCGUAGCCGACCUGAGAGGGUGAUCGGCCACACUGGGACUGACACACGGCCCAGACUCCUACGGGAGGCAGCAGUAGGGAAUCUUCCGCAAUGGACGAAAGUCUGACGGAACAACGCCGCGUGAACGAUGAAGGCUUUCGGGUCGUAUAGCUCUGUUGUCAGGGAAGAACA
rnacentral:rRNA from 1 species